UACGAAGGGGGCUAGCGUUGUUCGGAAUUACUGGGCGUAAAGCGCGCGCAGGCGGCCUUUCAAGUCAGGGGUGAAAGCCCGGAGCUCAACUCCGGAAUUGCCUUUGAAACUGUCAGGCUCGAGUACGGGAGAGGUGAGUGGAAUUCCCAGUGUAGAGGUGAAAUUCGUAGAUAUUCGGAAGAACACCAGUGGCGAAGGCGACUACCUGGUCUGGCAUUGACGCUCAUGUGCGAAAGCGUGGGGAGCAAACAGG
rnacentral:rRNA from 1 species